rnacentral:rRNA from 1 species
CCUACGGGGGGCAGCAGUGAGGAAUCUUCCUCAAUGGGGGAAACCCUGAAGGAGCGACACUGCGUGCAGGAUGAAGGCCCUUUGGGUUGUAAACUGCUUUUGCAGGGGAGAAAUAACCGAAUGGGAUGAUAGUACUCUGCGAAUAAGUCCCGGCUAACUACGUGCCAGCAGCCGCGGUAAUACGUAAGGGGCGAACGUUGCUCGGAAUCACUGGGCGUAAAGGGCCGGUAGGUGGCUUUAUAAGUCGGUUGUCAAAUACCUAUGCUCAACGUGGGAGAGGCGACCGAUACUGUAGAGCUUGAGUAGAGGAUGGGAUGAUGGAAUACCCGGUGUAGGGGUGAAAUCUGUUGAUAUCGGGUAGAACACCGAUGGCGAAAGCGAUCAUCUAGCCUCAUACUGACACUCAACGGCGAAAGCCAGGGGAGCGAACGGGAUUAGAUACCCUGGUAGUC